UGAAAAAACGGGAAAAGUGGGGUUGUUCAAUUUACAAAUAGUAAACAUGUUUGUUUAAUAUGAACAAAUUAUGUUUACCUUCGAAACAUAAUAUAAUCUUGAAAAUCACACAUCAUUUCUUGCUGUGUUACUUUUAUAUAUUUAAAUCAUGUUGACAAAACAUGAAAUAGUUAUGCUUGAUCCUUUGCCCCUUAAUUUUGGAUAAGUAAACCCCAUCGGUGAAGAAGAAUUCCAGGAGGGGAAACUUUGCAGUCAGCCAUUUUAGAGAAGCUACAAGCACCUGCUCUGGCUGGAGGAACUUAAAAAAGAGCUCAUCACACAACACUUCCAACUGCUCCUCCCUGAUCAUGCUGGGGUCCAUGCUCCAGUCUUCACUGAGUCAGACUGCUGAACUUCUCGCCAAUAUAAGCAAGUUCAGGGGUUUAUUCAAAGUAUAGAAUGAAGACCAUGCAGCAAUCCAGGAGGCAAUCGAGGACACCACGGUGGGAAUUUCCCUCCAUAUGGAAACUGGCAGUGGUGAGGAAGAGGACAUUCUCGUGGUCCACAUCUCCCAGGCUGUGGUGGUCGACCCACCAAGUGUCUGAGUGGCAGUUGCCAAGGCUUUUUUGGCCUUAUUUACAGCACAAAUCUGAUUACCAUCCUCAUCUCAGAAACACCUUGUCAUGGGGCCGUGACUUUGCUCCUGCUAUGAUCUCCUGGAGGCCCUUCCCUUCUUGAGCUCUCCCGCUGGUCACAGGUGUUCUGUAUUAUGUUGAUUGGUUUGUCUAUUUAUGCAGUGUCUGAUCUUGUUUCUGUGUCGGAGCGUCUUCGUUCUACGCUCUGGUGUUAUGGUUCUCUGGCAUUAAAGCCCCUUCGAGUGAACUAUUGGAUUUGGGUCGUUCUUCCUGCUCUUGGGUUCUCUCCCUUGGACAUUCCGUCACACACCUUUGAGGUAAUCCAAAAAAAAACUGUAUUAGAGUUGUAAGGCAAAGUGGUGUCUAAGGUUUCAGGCUUAAAGAUCCGACUCUUUGAAUAAAAUGACCUUUAAAUAGUUUAACUUUUUCCUAAGAAGGGAUUCCAGCUGUUUGCUUUGGCUCUGUUAUCUUCUGUUUAAUAAAAAUGGCAAGCCCAA